UAAAAAAAUAGAAGAAGGGGUCUUUAAGUAAAAGAAGAAGUUUAAUUAAGUCAGUUUUAUUAUCACGUUUAAGUUAGUGGGAUUAAGGGUCAGUUUAUUUAUCCCAUUUAAGUUAGUGGGGUUAGGUAGUUUAUAAGUUUUAAAAGAACAGACAACAACUUACGUUAGUUCAUUCAUCAGAUUCAAACAACAGACAGUCAGAAAGGCUUAAUAUCAGGGAAGAAGAAAGACAGAGGAGAGGGAAAGAGAUUGCUGAUUAAGGUUGUGAUUUGGUCAACCACGCGGGAACUUUGGGGAGUGAUGUUUAAUUUAGUAGCACUUAAAUUAUUUAGGAUUUAUUUAAAUAUUAUGAACAUCGUACUAUCUUAAUUAGUAUUCAGACUUUUAUCUUGA